GAUAAACGCUGGCGGCGUGCAUAACACAUGCAAGUCGAACGAUGAAACUUAAAUGAUCUCUUCGGAGUGACCUUAAGUGGAUUAGUGGCGGACGGGUGAGUAACGCGUGAGUAACCUGCCUUACACAAGGGGAUAGCCGUUGGAAACGACGAAUAAUACCCUAUGAUAUAAACUCUUCGCAUGAAGAGCUUAUCAAAGAUUUAUCGGUGUAAGAUGGACUCGCGUCUGAUUAGCUAGUUGGUGGGGUAAAAGCUCACCAAGGCAACGAUCAGUAGCCGGCUUGAGAGAGUGUACGGCCACAUUGGGACUGAGACACGGCCCAGACUCCUACGGGAGGCAGCAGUGGGGAAUUUUGCACAAUGGGGGAAACCCUGAUGCAGCGACGCCGCGUGAUUUAGAAGGCCUUCGGGUUGUAAAAAUCUUUUGUAUGGGAAGAAAAUGACAGUACCAUACGAAUAAGGACCGGCUAAUUACGUGCCAGCAGCCGCGGUAAUACGUAAGGUCCGAGCGUUGUCCGGAAUCAUUGGGCGUAAAGGGUACGUAGGCGGAUAAGCAAGUUAGAAGUGAAAUCCUAUAGCUCAACUAUAGUAAGCUUUUAAAACUGCUCAUCUUGAGGUGUGGAAGGGAAAGUGGAAUUCCUAGUGUAGCGGUGAAAUGCGCAGAUAUUAGGAGGAAUACCGGUGGCGAAGGCGACUUUCUGGCCAUAAACUGACGCUGAGGUACGAAAGCGUGGGUAGCAAACAGGAUUAGAUACCCUGGUAGUCCACGCCGUAAACGAUGAGUGUUAGGUGUCUGGAAUAAUCUGGGUGCCGCAGCUAACGCAAUAAACACUCAGCGUGGGGAGUACGCACGCAAGUGG
rnacentral:rRNA from 1 species